rnacentral:lncRNA from 1 species
CUGAGAUACACUCUUCCUAAAGCUUCUACAAGAACAAGUGCCUUUAUGAUCUCUCUGAUGUUCCACCGCCGAGUAUGGCUUAGUUUCCUCUGCCAAGAAUGAGCAGGCAAAGGAUUAAAGGGAUGACAGAGACACCCCGACCAUCUUCCAAUGAGCGUGUGAAGCAGCAUUCCCAUCCUCACCCACAUAAGAACGGCUGCAGCCCCAAGUGGGAGCCUGCGAGUGAGCUUCUCAGGGUGGGUUUAGAGCAUACACACCCAGGUGCUCAUUUCUCCUGUGUGGAAAACAAAGAAAGCUAUCCAGCCUCCAGGCACACUGCUUUGCUCUUAAGGCCAAGUACCACUGGAUGAGAAUUUAUUGUGAGACUUUCCUAGAAGGCCUUUAGCUCUGACUGAUGCUUCAGAACAUUAGGCCAGAAAGAGAUGAUUCCAGUUCUUUCUUCCAAUAAGUCGGGAGUGAAUAAUUCAGAAAACUUUGCUGUAAACCGGGUAUGGUGGUGCAUGUCAGCACUCGGGAGACUGAGGCAGGAGGGUCACUCUGAGUCCAAGACCAGCCUGGGCUACACAGUGAGUUCCAAAGCAGUCUGAACUACAUAGUGAGACCCUGUCUCAAAACCCGAAAAAAGAAAG